GCGCGCCGUAGAAGAAGGCCACCUGCUGCCGCGUCGCCGGCGCGCAGCCGCCGUCCGGGGUGCAUUGCGGGUGGAGGGACUUGAGUGAGACGGCCAAGGGUUAUAUGUUACAGAUAUUCUAGUACUCCUACCAUGCUUAAGAUUGAGCACGAGGCAUAUGCGCAAGUGUAAACACUUGACCGACGACCAAUCAUGAAUCCACGCAAUUGCGGGCUGGGUGGGCCCAAGCAGACGUAGCACAGGAACUGAGUAACAGACCCAUCAUCACAACAUGAGCGAGCCUUUGCCUGCAUGCACUGCCCAGAAGAGAGUGACACGCACGCCUUUUCUCAGGCAGUGUUCUCACACGCAACGACAACGAUCACUCUCCAGCUCCUGUCCAGGCGACCCGGCUGAAGAUGAAACCAGGCCCGAAAGAUUCCAAGCCGGCUAGCUUGCUUUCGGCAUGGGCUCCCGGUUUCCGGCGUGCGUGCGCGUUUUCUUCUCCGCUCGUCGCAGUCCAAUCUGACCCGAACGGCGAUUGCAGGUUACAGCCGAAACACUGGUCUCCCAGUGUCAACGUCACUGUAUCUGCUUACUGAUAGACUUACGGCUGGAUUGACAUUGCAGACUGCAGGCGGCACGAAAUUCACUAGCCUACUACAACAUGUGAUUCUCAUGUUAACAACGGCGCGUUGCAACUCCAAUCGCACAAAACCGGUGUAUGUUUUUUUUCCAUCUACAUUUCUAUGUUACUGGUAGUGAAACAUUGUUUGCUUGAGAAGGAGAAUGGCAUCCAAUCAUCUAGAUAGGUUUCUGUGCUUAUUCAGUUUACUGGCAAGUCUGCUGAUCAGGAUCGCGAUCAUUGGUACCCGAAUUCUGUCCCCAACAGAGGAUGAAACAAGCGAGCGCGCGGAUCGGUUGACGCAUGGAUAAACAGAGGAUGAAAAAAGCUCGCUGGAGCAGAGGAGGGUGAAGA